CUGAUGCAGCCAUGCCGCGUGUGUGAAGAAGGCCUUCGGGUUGUAAAGCACUUUCAGUCGUGAGGAAGGUGGUGUAGUUAAUAGCUGCAUUAUUUGACGUUAGCGACAGAAGAAGCACCGGCUAACUCCGUGCCAGCAGCCGCGGUAAUACGGAGGGUGCGAGCGUUAAUCGGAAUUACUGGGCGUAAAGCGCAUGCAGGUGGUUUGUUAAGUCAGAUGUGAAAGCCCGGGGCUCAACCUCGGAAUAGCAUUUGAAACUGGCAGACUAGAGUACUGUAGAGGGGGGUAGAAUUUCAGGUGUAGCGGUGAAAUGCGUAGAGAUCUGAAGGAAUACCGGUGGCGAAGGCGGCCCCCUGGACAGAUACUGACACUCAGAUGCGAAAGCGUGGGGAGCAAACAGGAUUAGAUACCCUGGUAGUCCACGCCGUAAACGAUGUCUACUUGGAGGUUGUGGCCUUGAGCCGUGGCUUUCGGAGCUAACGCGUUAAGUAGACCGCCUGGGGAGUACGGUCGCAAGAUUAAAACUCAAAUGAAUUGACGGGGGCCCGCACAAGCGGUGGAGCAUGUGGUUUAAUUCGAUGCAACGCGAAGAACCUUACCUACUCUUGACAUCCAGAGAACUUUCCAGAGAUGGAUUGGUGCCUUCGGGAACUCUGAGACAGGUGCUGCAUGGCUGUCGUCAGCUCGUGUUGUGAAAUGUUGGGUUAAGUCCCGCAACGAGCGCAACCCUUAUCCUUGUUUGCCAGCGAGUAAUGUCGGGAACUCCAGGGAGACUGCCGGUGAUAAACCGGAGGAAGGUGGGGACGACGUCAAGUCAUCAUGGCCCUUACGAGUAGGGCUACACACGUGCUACAAUGGCGCAUACAGAGGGC
rnacentral:rRNA from 1 species